rnacentral:tRNA from 1 species
GCCGACGUGGUGGAACUGGUAGACACGCUAGCUUGAGGGGCUAGUGGGAGAAAUCUCGUGGGAGUUCGAAUCUCCCCGUCGGCACCA